rnacentral:lncRNA from 1 species
AUUUUAUAUGUAUGAAUCUGUGAAUGUGUAUGUGCUUACUAAUCACACAUCUAUAACACAUACAUGCAUGUAUGUGUUUGUGUACAUAUAUAUGUAAAUGAUGGCAUGGCAUAAAUAUAUGCCAUCAUUUUGUAAAUAUAGGAUUGCUAUUUUAGACUAGUAUAUUUCCACAUUUUGUUUUAUCUUUAGAUUCUGCAAAGGCUUAAGAGAUGCUCAUGUGGCUAUUUUAGAAAAGUAAUUGGAUUAUAUAGCAAAUUAUAUGUAAUAGUCUGUUGACAUUGAGACAAGGAGAAGUGAAAGUUGUAUAUAUUAUUGCAAUUUGUUGUCAACAAGAAAUCACUGUGUGCUUACUUCAUGAAAAGAACUGCUUGAAAGACUCAAGACAUAAUCACACUCAUCAGUGGUUUUCUUUAUUCAUGUGGUGAUGGUGAGCAUUAAGGAAGGGACCGUAAUUUGCAAAGAGAGCUUUUACAAACUGUCAGCGCAUAAUUAUUGAACAUCUACUUUGUAACAGGCCCUAUGAAGACAUGACAGGAGCAUAUGUGAAUCUUGAUGAUUGUUUAUAUUUUCCAGCACAGCAUUCCUGUGGAAAGUAUAAAAUAGUGGCAGACCUGAACCUCAGAUCUGUAAAAUCGCCCUCAAUAAGAUCAAACUCUGUUGCUUCUUCACCAAGGUAAAAUUCUUAAGAGGUUUGUCUUUUCUUUUUUCAUGUAAUUAAUAUUUAUUGUGACAUCAAAAAGUCAGUCUUCUUGUAUUUGAAUAACGUGAUUUAGUUAUUUAAUAUGAAAACUAAAACUCCACAUCACCACAAAUGAAUAGAUGCCUCAGGGUGAAUGCCAGUUUUAGUCCUUUCUUAACCUUUCAGGUUACAUUUAUCAUAACUUCUUGGUCUCUGAAGUUUCUGUCUUACUUCCUACCAGUUC